CCCCACCCACUUAUUUAUUAUUAGACUAUUACAUUUACUGUAAAUUACCAAAAGUCUUUCACACAUACAAUUACAGACACCAUAUUUCAUAAGCCACUACUCCAUUUUGUUAACCAACUUCAACCCAGAAAAUGAUCAUAAACAUUGUUUCCGGUUGGAAACAUAUUGAAAAUUUAAUGGUUCCCCUUCCCUGUUUUUUCCUCUUGCUUCUAACAAAUAAAUUGCUUCUAUUAUGACAAUUAGCUUGAAACUAAUCAAGAAUUUUAUAGAUAUCACUGUGAGUAGCAUGAAGCAAUAAUUGGACAACAAGCAUUGUUCAAAUUCUAAUUUAUAGACAACUCUUUUACUAAUGUUAGUAUACAUUAUCAAGUUUGUUUAUUGUGGACAGGAAAGAUGAUUGAGUGCUUAAGUUUUAGUUGCCUAUGAAUUAUAGUUGGCUUAGCUUCAAAUGCCAAUGUUUCAAGGAUUUUCAUGAGCCAGAUCAAACAAGAUACUGUUGUUUUCUCAACCAACCAAAACAUAAGUAGUUGUUUCUCCCAUUCAUUGUUGCCUUUGUCAUUAUAUUGUUGUAAUGUGUUAUUGUUUCUGUAUCAAGGAUUGUUAUAAUUUGUAAUCUUUUCUGUAUCAAACUUAUGCUACACAAAAGAGUGAUGUUUUAGUUGAAUUGUAUUUGUUGUCUUUAGAA